rnacentral:rRNA from 1 species
CCGCCAGACUCCUACGGGAGGCAGCAGUGGGGAAUAUUGCACAAUGGGGGAAACCCUGAUGCAGCGACGCCGCGUGAGCGAAGAAGUACCUCGGUAUGUAAAGCUCUAUCAGCAGGGAAGAAGAUGACGGUACCCGACCAAGAAGCUCCGGCUAAAUACGUGCCAGCAGCCGCGGUAAUACGUAUGGAGCAAGCGUUAUCCGGAUUUACUGGGUGUAAAGGGGGCGCAGACGGCAGCGCAAGCCAGGAGUGAAAGCCCGGGGCCCAACCCCGGGACUGCUCUUGGAACUGCGCGGCUGGAGUGCAGGAGGGGCGGGCGGAAUUCCUGGUGUAGCGGUGAAAUGCGUAGAUAUCAGGAGGAACACCGGUGGCGAAGGCGGCCUGCUGGACUGCGACUGACGUUGAGGCCCGAAAGCGUGGGGAGCAACCAGGAUUAGAUACCCCCGUAAA